rnacentral:rRNA from 1 species
GACGAGGGGUCCAAGCGUUGUUCGGAAUCAUUGGGCGUAAAGCGGGUGUAGGCGGCUCUAUAAGUCAGGAGUGGAAAGCCCCCAAGCUUAACUUGGGAAGUGCUUUUGAUACUGCAGAGCUUGAAUGUGGGAGAGGGUAGUGGAAUUCCAGGUGUAGUGGUGAAAUACGUAGAUAUCUGGAGGAACACCGGUGGCGAAGGCGGCUACCUGGCCCAACAUUGACGCUGAGACCCGAAACGCCG